GGGAAUUCUGUUGGGGGACCUGACUCUCAACAACACUCCAUGGCGUCUAGGCACUCCUCAAUGUUGGGAGCUUCACAGGAAGCUGAUACUGCUGCAUAUAGGUCACAUCCAUCAAGCACCACUCAUUAUGGAGGGCAGUAUAGUUCUGUGUAUAGCUCGGCUGCAUUGAGUAGUAAACCGCAGGGCCCUCCACUGACUGCCAAAGGGAGUGGUGUUCCAUCAGCCUUGGAAGGUCGGGGAGGCUAUGCCUCAGCCAUUCCUGAUUCCCCCAAGUAUCUAUCAAGUGACUAU
rnacentral:misc_RNA from 1 species